rnacentral:rRNA from 1 species
AACGAACGCUGGCGGCAUGCCUAACACAUGCAAGUCGAACGAGACCUUCGGGUCUAGUGGCGCACGGGUGCGUAACGCGUGGGAACCUGCCCUUAGGUUCGGAAUAACUCCCCGAAAGGGGUGCUAAUACCGGAUAAUGUCUUCGGACCAAAGAUUUAUCGCCUUUGGAUGGGCCCGCGUUGGAUUAGCUAGUUGGUAGGGUAAAAGCCUACCAAGGCGACGAUCCAUAGCUGGUCUGAGAGGAUGAUCAGCCACACUGGGACUGAGACACGGCCCAGACUCCUACGGGAGGCAGCAGUGGGGAAUAUUGGACAAUGGGCGAAAGCCUGAUCCAGCAAUGCCGCGUGAGUGAUGAAGGCCUUAGGGUUGUAAAGCUCUUUUACCCGAGAUGAUAAUGACAGUACCGGGAGAAUAAGCUCCGGCUAACUCCGU